AUUGAACGCUGGCGGCAGGCCUAACACAUGCCAGUCGAACAGUAACAGGAAGAAGCUUGCUUCUUUGCUGACGAGUGGCGGACGGGUGAGUAAUGUCUGGGAAACUGCCUGAUGGAGGGGGAUAACUACUGGAAACGGUAGCUAAUACCGCAUAAUGUCGCAAGACCAAAGAGGGGGACCUUCGGGCCUCUUGCCAUCGGAUGUGCCCAGAUGGGAUUAGCUAGUAGGUGGGGUAACGGCUCACCUAGGCGACGAUCCCUAGCUGGUCUGAGAGGAUGACCAGCCACACUGGAACUGAGACACGGUCCAGACUCCUACGGGAGGCAGCAGUGGGGAAUAUUGCACAAUGGGCGCAAGCCUGAUGCAGCUAUGCCGCGUGUAUGAAGAAGGCCUUCGGGUUGUAAAGUACUUUCAGCGGGGAGGAAGGGAGUAAAGUUAAUACCUUUGCUCAUUGACGUUACCCGCAGAAGAAGCACCGGCUAACUCCGUG
rnacentral:rRNA from 1 species